rnacentral:rRNA from 1 species
GAUGAACGCUGGCGGCGUGCCUAAUACAUGCAAGUCGAGCGAACGGACGCGAAGCUUGCUUCUCUGAUGUUAGCGGCGGACGGGUGAGUAGCACGUGGAUAACCUACCUAUAAGACUGGGAUAACUUCGGGAAACCGGAGCUAAUACCGGAUAAUAUUUUGAACCGCAUGGUUCAAAAGUGAAAGACGGUCUUGCUGUCACUUAUAGAUGGAUCCGCGCUGCAUUAGCUAGUUGGUAAGGUAACGGCUUACCAAGGCAACGAUGCAUAGCCGACCUGAGAGGGUGAUCGGCCACACUGGAACUGAGACACGGUCCAGACUCCUACGGGAGGCAGCAGUAGGGAAUCUUCCGCAAUGGGCGAAAGCCUGACGGAGCAACGCCGCGUGAGUGAUGAAGGUCUUCGGAUCGUAAAACUCUGUUAUUAGGGAAGAACAUAUGUGUAAGUAACUGUGCACAUCUUGACGGUACCUAAUCAGAAAGCCACGGCUAACUACGUG